rnacentral:rRNA from 1 species
UACGAAGGGGCUAGCGUUGCUCGGAAUCACUGGGCGUAAAGGGUGCGUAGGCGGGUCUUUUAAGUCAGGGGUGAAAUCCUGGAGCUCAACUCCAGAACUGCCUUUGAUACUGAAGAUCUUGAGUUCGGGAGAGGUGAGUGGAACUGCGAGUGUAGAGGUGAAAUUCGUAGAUAUUCGCAAGAACACCAGUGGCGAAGGCGGCUCACUGGCCCGGUACUGACGCUGAGGUGCGAAAGCGGUGGGGAGCAAACAGGG